rnacentral:ncRNA from 18 species
UGCUUAUCAAGAGUGGUGGAGGGAAAAGGCCCUGUGAAACCACAGCAACCGGUUGAUCCGAAAGGACGGCGUCAGGUGCUAAAUCCUGCCCAUUGGGUAAAGAUGAGAG